GAUGAAGAACGCAGCGAAAUGCGAUAAGUAAUGUGAAUUGCAGAAUCCAGUGAAUCAUCGAAUCUUUGAACGCACAUUGCACCUCUCGGUAUUCCGGGAGGUAUGCCUGUUCGAGCGUCAUUUGUACCCUCAAGCUCUGCUUGGUGUUGGGUGUUUGUUCCGCCUCUGUGUGUGAACUCGCCUCAAAACAAUUGGCAGCCGGCGUACUUGUUUCGGAGCGCAGCACAUUUUGCGAUCCAGAUCAACGUACAGCGGCAUCCAAGAAGCCUUAUUUAACGCUCUUGACCUCGGAUCAGGUAGGGAUACCCGCUGAACUUAAGCAUAUCAAUAAGCGGAGGA
rnacentral:misc_RNA from 1 species